AACCUUUUAAUGGACGUUUUCAUUUACAAUAUUAUUUAUCAAUAAAGAAAUAAAACAAGCAGGAUUUUGGCCAUUAUACCUUGUGAGCAAGGUCGACUGGACAUGGCAAUUUUACACUACAAACAAGUUGUUACAUGUGACCCCAGAUUUUGGAAGCUUACAAUAAUUUAGGUUUUGCUUUGAGAGAUGUAGACAGGGUGGAAGUGUUCCAUCCAGCGUUUGGCAGGACAAGAUUUCAAAUGCUAAUAAAAGAUUGCUACUAGAGUUACAAAAUAAUCAAUUUGCAAACAUAUCAGGCGCUACUAAUCUUCCUCCAAAUGUCACACUCUUGCUUGAUGGGAAUCCUCUGUGCUCAGAUAACACAUUCAAUCAGUUCUGUAAACUUGAAAGAGCUCCACAUUUCAAUGCAUUUGAGGAAUAUUUGACUUCUAAUCUUAAGCUAUAUGCCAAUCAACUGAGCUAUGCUUUUGAGUGGCUAGUAGGACCAUGAUUGCUAAUGAUCUUGAAGUUUUUUUUCCUGAAUAUGUUGAUAACAAUAGCUCGCGCACUUUCUGUUCAAGUGAAAUCCAACGGAUCAGAAACAUGUUCACUAGAUGGGUCAUUCCUAAUCGUGAUUUGUUCAGGACUGAGACCUCGUCCAAUUCAGGCCUAAGCACAGGUGCUUUGUUUGGUAUGAUCUUAAUCCAACUGUCAGCAAGCAUCCGCUGUUGUCAUUCUCUCCCCGAAGUUGCCGCUUCCAUCACUUGAAUCUCCGACGAUAUUGUUAUUAUUUGUGUGGCCUUCAUGCUGUGUAGUUGUGCUGCUGGAAGAGAAUCCACAAACAGUCCUACUCAGUCACAUACAUUGCAAUAUGAAUUAGGGACAUCAAAGAGCUUCCUCCACACCGACUGGCUGAAAUAAGAAGAUUAUAUGAAGACUACAAAAAGAAAGAGAACAACAACAAAAUACAGCAUCGCUUCAAUUUCAUAGUUUCAUAGCAAUUCUCGCCAAAAAAACCAAACUUUCACCUCAAAACUUCUGUAUACUCUUCUCAAUUUCACACUUCCAGGUGAGCAAGAUAAACGGUGUUCUUAUCCAUGUUGCAAGUGUAUCUGAACUUAUGAAGGAUGGAAAACAAACUCUUCUCAAUUUCACACUUCCAGGUGAGCAAGAUAAACGGUGUUCUUAUCCAUGUUGCAAGUGUAUCUGAACUUAUGAAGGAUGGAAAACAUAGUUGGUGCGAUGUUGUCGGACACUAUUUUUCUCCAAAAAAAAAACAUGCAUGUAACACCAUCUAGUUUCUAUUGAUUGGUUGAAGAGUAGGAAAGAUUAGAAGCUGGUUGGAAUAGUGGGCUCUGUUUACUGUUGUUUGAGCUGCGAUGAUGUAGAAGAUUAUGUGAACCCAAAUAAUCCUGCGUGUAGGAACGACAUGUGUCUCAGUUGCUUGGUACAUAAUCUUUUGAAUGUGUGUGCAUCAAUAUUCCGAAGAGGCGAAGCACUUUCAAUUUCUUCAUCUCUUUAAGGAACAACAUCCAUGACAUCUGUAGCAUCACUUGAUAAUUCUCCAUCGGACAUGUACCGUUCUCCUCCAAGGCCCUUACCAUAUGAUGCAGAGCCUCUAAACUCAACAGACAAAUGGAAUGAAUGUGCCCGAGAAGAUGAAUUGAAGAUAUACCGUUCUAAGUCUGCAUCAAGAACUUUCAUCAGCAAAAUACACACUUGGAGUUGGGCUUGUUUACACGUCAUCAUCAGAAGAAGAGGAUAUCUGUCCAACUUGCCUUGAAGAAUACACUAAAGAGAAUCCCAAGAUAAUGACAAAAUGCUCUCAUCAUUUUCACCUUAGCUGCAUCUAUGAGUGGAUGGAGAGAAGUGACAACUAUCCAGUUUGUGGAAAGGAGAUGGAAUUCGAUGAGACAAUAUACUCUUGAUAAUCUGGAGGUGGAUAAAGGCAACAUCUAAAGAUAGUAGUCAGGCUGCAGUGAAAAGAAAAAUCACUAAGAAUCAAAGAGAAUUUGAAUUUGAAGUCAGUAUUCUAGGAAUAAUUCAACACAAAAAAUACCGUGUAUCCCGUACUUGGGAUGGAUCUACUGAUCUGGAAACUAUUAACACGCAGCAAGUUCAUUCAAGCACUUCUGAAAAUGCCAUGAAUUUGUCUUCGGAUGUUCAUGGUUUGCCCAAAGCUUCGGUAUCGGAUGCUGAGAUCAAGCCAAAUGAUCUAC
rnacentral:lncRNA from 1 species